AUCCAGUUGACGAGUCCCAAAUAGGACGAAACGCGUGACCUGGAU
rfam:Schistosoma margrebowiei strain Zambia genome assembly, scaffold: SMRZ_contig0002261